rnacentral:rRNA from 1 species
GACGAACGCUAGCGGGAUGCUUUACACAUGCAAGUCGAACGAGUGGCGGGCGGGAGAGUAAUAUAGCGGACCGUGCCCAGUAGCGGGGGAUAACUUCUCGAAAGAGUGGAUAAUACCGAAUACUAUUGGAGCCGCCGAUAGCGGAUUGGCUAUUUGUGGGGGUAAAGGCUCACCAAGGCAACGACCCGUAGCUGGUUUGCGAGGACGACCAGCCACAAUGGGACUGAGACACGGCCCAGACUCCUACGGGAGGCAGCAGUGGGGAAUUGUGGACAAUGGGGGAAAGCCUGAUCCAGCCCGCCCGCGUGUAUGAGAAGGCCUUCGGGUUGUAAAGUACUUUCGGCAGAGAAGCGGUAUCUGCAGAAUAAGCACCGGCUAACUACGUGCCAGCCGCCGCGGUAAUAC